rnacentral:misc_RNA from 1 species
CGCAUAUUGCGCCCCCCGGUAUUCCGAGGGGCAUGCCUGUUCGAGCGUCAUAAGAAACAAUCGGACCCCUGGGGUUCGGCGUUGGGCGAUUAGGACUGCCGCACUUGUACCCUUUGGUGGGCAUUUCUCUGUUAGUCCCGCCUUAAAAUCGUCGGCAGCGGCGCGGAGUCCCGAGCGUACCAGGACCGUGUGAAGCAGUCACCGCUCUGUGGGCCACCGUGCUCCGUUAAAGCCCCGAAAUGACCCCCUCUAAGCGGCGAUCGGUACCCUUAAAACGGGUAUCGUAACCCCCAAAAUUUUGACCUCGGAUCAGGUAGGGAUACCCGCUGAACUUAA